UUUACACAUUAGGCAUUGAUUUACUUUGAAAAUCAUAUUGAAGAUGAAAUAUAUCGUUUUUUUAUCUAUUUUUUGCAUAUUAGUGCAAUUAAGCGAAUUAGUCAGCGGACAAGGGGCAGAUAUGGGUAAUCUAGCUAAAACGGGGAUGAACGCAGCAUCUGAAAUGGCAAAAAUUCCAAUGGAUGCAAUGAAAAAUGCAAUGAAAUCGGCCAGCGAUAUGGCAUCAAUACCAUCACAAGCUAUGAGCGGUUUUGGGAAGAAAAAAUAACGUUUCGUACGAAAUUAUAUAAUAUAUAAUAAAGGCAUGUUAAAUUGAA